ensembl:lncRNA
UCCCCACACCUACUGAGUGAACCGAGGCUGAUGCCUUAAGUUCUCUGAGCUUCAGUUCCUUGCCUGCUAUUAGGAAUGGGAGCCCCACCUGUGAGGCCAGCCUCGAGGCUCAGGACACAGCUGUGGUCUUCAUUCCAAGCGGAGGGCGGGCUACAGAUAGAGGAUUGGGUGUCUCUUCCAAGCUCCAAGUCCUUCACAGAAAUGGGCUACUGUGCAUGUUUUCUUCCCAACCUUGAGGUCACCUGUGUGGAUAGAGGUUUUGAAAGAUUUCAGACUCUGGGCACAGAGGUCAUAUCCCGCCUUGACUCUCGCCACGCCUUCCUUGACUUCACAGGUGCUUUCCCUUCAGAAGGCCCUGCUCUGAGCGGCCCCUCUUCCCCGACCCACUCCUUCCAAGACGCAGUACUCGGCAUAGGACGCCCACCUGCCCGCCUUGCGCGGGGCUGACCUGGACAUCCCUGCCCGGGGCUCACACCCCUGCAGGACUGGGGGUAGAUGGAGCCAAAGAGGAUGUCCCCCAGGCUCUACAGACUCAGCAACUUGGGGUGGAGAAUGAGAGUGGAUCAGUCAUUGGAUUGGCAAGUCAUUUAACACAUUUUUUUUUAACAUGAAAACAGAUUAAUAGAGCAGAGGGCAAAAUCUGCUUGAGUUUGAAAAAAUAAACCAGGAGACUUGAGAGAAGUGAAGGGGAGUGGGUGACGGGAGCCCAUGCUGGGGUGCUUCCUCCUGGGCUGGGCUCUUGAGGGUCGUGGAGGGGCGGCUCGGGAGGGACUGACUUCCGGUUUCGUCCUCAGCCAGCCCAGGACCUGGCCCGUGGCGAGGGUUCCAUAAACCUUUGUGACUUUGAGUUUGCUUUUUUGUGGUGGUAAAACUUACCCAAAGUGUACCAUUUUAAACCUUUUAAAGUGUACGGUUCGGUGGCGUUAAGUCAUCGAGCUGUUGUUUUUUGUUUUUAUUGGGAUGUAGCUGAUUUACAGCGUGGUGGUCCCCGAGUUUUAAGAGUGAGCUCUGGAAGAUUCAGGAACCGGACGCGAAAAAAGUGGGCCUUGCUGUGUUGUGGCGUUUUACGGUUGAAAGUGCUUUCCCACCUGUUCCUGCUUCUGUGAUCGGGAGGUGGUGGUACCCUCAUUUUGCAGAUGAGAAAAGUGUCGUUGAAAGAGACUACGGUUGAAGCCGGGCCACCGAACAACACAAGUAUUCACAGCACUGUUCACAGGCGCCAUAAAGGGGAAGCACUCCAGCCGUCCAUCGGCUGAUGAACGGGUGAACGAGACGUAGUGUGUCCAUCGCUAGGGAAUGCUAUCCAGCCUUAAAAAGGAGCGAGGCUCUGACACGGCACGACCUGGUGGACCUCGAGAACACUGCCGACUGAAAUACACCAGUCACUACAGGCCACACAGGGCUUCCCCGGCGGCUCAGCUGGUAAAGAGUCCGCCUGCAACGCGGGAGACCCUGGUUCAAUUCCUGGGACGGGAAGAUCCGCUGGAGAAAGGAUAGGCUACCCACUCCAGUAUUCUUGGGCUUCCCUGGUGGCUCAACGGGUAAAGAAUCCACCCGCAAUGCGGGAGGCCUGGGUUCGAUCCCUGGGUCGGGAAGAUCCGCUGGAGAAAGGAUAGGCUACCCGCUCCAGUAUUCUUGGGCUUCCCUGGCGACUCAGCUGGUAAAGAAUCCACCUGCAAUGCGGGAGGCCUGGGUUCUAUCCCUGGGUCGGGAAGAUCCGCUGGAGAAGGGAAAGGCUACCGGCUCCAGUAU